rnacentral:rRNA from 1 species
AGUGAACGCUGGCGGCAGGCCUAACACAUGCAAGUCGAACGGCAGCACAGGAAAGCUUGCUCUCUGGGUGGCGAGUGGCGGACGGGUGAGGAAUACAUCGGAAUCUACUCUGUCGUGGGGGAUAACGUAGGGAAACUUACGCUAAUACCGCAUACGACCUACGGGUGAAAGCAGGGGACCUUCGGGCCUUGCGCGAUUGAAUGAGCCGAUGUCGGAUUAGCUAGUUGGCGGGGUAAAGGCCCACCAAGGCGACGAUCCGUAGCUGGUCUGAGAGGAUGAUCAGCCACACUGGAACUGAGACACGGUCCAGACUCCUACGGGAGGCAGCAGUGGGGAAUAUUGGACAAUGGGCGCAAGCCUGAUCCAGCCAUACCGCGUGGGUGAAGAAGGCCUUCGGGUUGUAAAGCACUUUUGUUGGGAAAGAAAUCCAGCUGGCUAAUACCCGGUUGGGAUGACGGUACCCAAAGAAUAAGCACCGGCUAACUUCGUGCCAGCAGCCGCGGUAA